rnacentral:rRNA from 1 species
UACGUAGGGUGCGAGCGUUGUCCGGAAUUAUUGGGCGUAAAGAGCUCGUAGGCGGUUUGGUAAGUCUGGUGUGAAAUCUCCACGCCACAGUGGAGGGGCCACCCGAUACUGCCAUGACUGGAGUCCGGUAGAGGAGUGUGGAAUUCCCGGUGUAGCAGUGAAAUGCGCAGAUAUCGGGAGGAACACCCGUAGCGAAGGCGGCACUCUGGGCCGGUACUGACGCUGAGGAGCGAAAGCGUGGGGAGCAAACAGG